AGCCUCGUAGCUAAGCUGGUAGAGCGUGCGCGUACCGGGCGUCGGGAGCGUCCAUGCGUGGGUUCGAAUCCGACCGUGGCUA
rnacentral:tRNA from 1 species